CAAGGAAUUUUCCCCAAUGGGCUCACGCCUGAGGGAGCAACGCCGCGUGGGGGAUGACGGCCUUCGGGUUGUAAACUCCUUUUGGGUGGGAUGAUUGUGACAGUACCAUCCGAAUAAGCCCCGGCUAACUCCGUGCCAGCAGCCGCGGUAAGACGGAGGGGGCAAGCGUUGUCCGGACUCACUGGGCGUAAAGCGCACGUAGGCGGUUGUGUGCGUCGCUGCUGAAAGCGCCAGGCUUAACUUGGCGAGGCGUGGCGAUACGACACGACUAGAGGCAGGCAGAGGGUGGCGGAAUUCCGGGUGUAGUGGUGAAAUGCGUAGAGAUCCGGAGGAACGCCUGUGGCGCAAGCGGCCACCUGGGCCUGACCUGACGCUGAGGUGCGAAAGCGUGGGGAGCGAACCGG
rnacentral:rRNA from 1 species